rnacentral:rRNA from 1 species
GACGAACGCUGGCGGCGUGCCUAAUACAUGCAAGUAGAACGCACAGUUUAUACCGUAGCUUGUUACACCAUAAACUGUGAGUUGCGAACGGGUGAGUAACGCGUAGGUAACCUGCCUGGUAGCGGGGGAUAACUAUUGGAAACGAUAGCUAAUACCGCAUAAUAUUAAUUAUUGCAUGAUAAUUGAUUGAAAGAUGCAAUUGCAUCACUACCAGAUGGACCUGCGUUGUAUUAGCUAGUAGGAGAGGUAACGGCUCACCUAGGCGACGAUACAUAGCCGACCUGGGAGGGUGAUCGGCCACACUGGGACUGGGACACGGCCCAGACUCCUACCGGAGGCAGCAGUAGGGGAUCUUCGGCAAUGGACGAAAGUCUUACCGAGCAACGCCGCGUGGGUGAAGAAGGUUUUCGGAUCGUAAAGCUCUGUUGUAAGGGAAGAACGGGUGUGGGAGUGGAAAGUUCACACUGUGACGGUAUCUUACCAGAAAGGGACGGCUAACUACGUG